GCUAUGGGAUAGUCAGCACCCUCAUUCCUUUAUUCUUUAUGGAUAAGUGCUCCUAAUCUGUGCACAGGUUGCCUUCCAUUAGUUUCACAGAAGGGAAUGGAUCUAUUCCAGACAAUUUCCCCAACAGCUAACUCCUUAUAAAGGACGAUGUGGAGAGGGCAAGAAAACAAACCACAUUCAUUGAUUAGCAUUAAAUGAAAAGUGGAGGAUGAAAAUGUUAUACAAGAGAAGCAACCCAGAGUCCAAGCAUAUAUGCGGUAAAAUUUUGGUUUAUCCAUGAAACCUUAGUUUCAGGUGCCAAGCAAUUACAUGAAAGGGGGAACAUGCUGCAUCCUUUGCUGAUUAAAUUCACAAAAUUGAAAUCCAAGAAAA